rnacentral:misc_RNA from 1 species
GAUGAAGAACGUAGCGAAAUGCGAUAAGUAAUGUGAAUUGCAGAAUUCAGUGAAUCAUCGAAUCUUUGAACGCAUCUUGCGCUCCUUGGUAUUCCGAGGAGCAUGCCUGUUUGAGUGUCAUUUAACUUCUCAACCACAUUGGAUAUUUUUUUUCCGAUGCCGGCUUGGAUGUGGGGGUUGUUUGCAGGCUUUUUGUAACAAAAAAGGUCGGCUCCCCUGAAAUGUAUUAGUGGUAUCUGAGGCUAUUACUAUUAGGUGCGAUAAUUAUCUAUGCCUUUUGGGUAUGCCGCAUGAACAGAUUAUGCUGCUUCUAACGAAAACUAUUUUGAUGAAUUUGACCUCAAAUCAGGUAGGACUACCCGCUGAACUUAAGCAUAUCAAUAAGCGGAGGA